GGUUAAGCGACUAAGCGUACACGGUGGAUGCCCUGGCAGUCAGAGGCGAUGAAGGACGUGCUAAUCUGCGAUAAGCGCCGGUAAGGUGAUAUGAACCGUUAUAACCGGCGAUUUCCGAAUGGGGAAACCCAGUGUGAUUCGUCACACUAUCAUUAACUGAAUCCAUAGGUUAAUGAGGCGAACCGGGGGAACUGAAACAUCUAAGUACCCCGAGGAAAAGAAAUCAACCGAGAUUCCCCCAGUAGCGGCGAGCGAACGGGGAGGAGCCCAGAGCCUGAAUCAGCAUGUGUGUUAGUGGAAGCGUCUGGAAAGGCGCGCGAUACAGGGUGACAGCCCCGUACACAAAAGCGCAUGUGCUGUGAGCUCGAUGAGUAGGGCGGGACACGUGGUAUCCUGUCUGAAUAUGGGGGGACCAUCCUCCAAGGCUAAAUACUCCUGACUGACCGAUAGUGAACCAGUACCGUGAGGGAAAGGCGAAAAGAACCCCGGCGAGGGGAGUGAAAAAGAACCUGAAACCGUGUACGUACAAGCAGUGGGAGCACCCUUUGGGGUGUGACUGCGUACCUUUUGUAUAAUGGGUCAGCGACUUAUAUUCUGUAGCAAGGUUAACCGUAUAGGGGAGCCGUAGGGAAACCGAGUCUUAACCGGGCGUUAAGUUGCAGGGUAUAGACCCGAAACCCGGUGAUCUAGCCAUGGGCAGGUUGAAGGUUGGGUAACACUAACUGGAGGACCGAACCGACUAAUGUUGAAAAAUUAGCGGAUGACCUGUGGCUGGGGGUGAAAGGCCAAUCAAACCGGGAGAUAGCUGGUUCUCCCCGAAAGCUAUUUAGGUAGCGCCUCGUGAAUUCAUCUCCGGGGGUAGAGCACUGUUUCGGCUAGGGGGCCAUCCCGGCUUACCAACCCGAUGCAAACUGCGAAUACCGGAGAAUGUUAUCACGGGAGACACACGGCGGGUGCUAACGUCCGUCGUGAAGAGGGAAACAACCCAGACCGCCAGCUAAGGUCCCAAAGUCAUGGUUAAGUGGGAAACGAUGUGGGAAGGCCCAGACAGCCAGGAUGUUGGCUUAGAAGCAGCCAUCAUUUAAAGAAAGCGUAAUAGCUCACUGGUCGAGUCGGCCUGCGCGGAAGAUGUAACGGGGCUAAACCAUGCACCGAAGCUGCGGCAGCGACGCUGAUGCGUUGUUGGGUAGGGGAGCGUUCUGUAAGCCUGCGAAGGUGACCUGUGAGGGUUGCUGGAGGUAUCAGAAGUGCGAAUGCUGACAUAAGUAACGAUAAAGCGGGUGAAAAGCCCGCUCGCCGGAAGACCAAGGGUUCCUGUCCAACGUUAAUCGGGGCAGGGUGAGUCGACCCCUAAGGCGAGGCCGAAAGGCGUAGUCGAUGGGAAACGGGUUAAUAUUCCCGUACUUGGUGUUACUGCGAAGGGGGGACGGAGAAGGCUAUGUUGGCCGGGCGACGGUUGUCCCGGUUUAAGCGUGUAGGUGUGUGUUCCAGGUAAAUCCGGUUCACUUUAACACUGAGGCGUGACGACGAGGCACUACGGUGCUGAAGCAACAAAUGCCCUGCUUCCAGGAAAAGCCUCUAAGCAUCAGGUAACAUCAAAUCGUACCCCAAACCGACACAGGUGGUCAGGUAGAGAAUACCAAGGCGCUUGAGAGAACUCGGGUGAAGGAACUAGGCAAAAUGGUGCCGUAACUUCGGGAGAAGGCACGCUGACACGUAGGUGAAGUGAUUUACUCAUGGAGCUGAAGUCAGUCGAAGAUACCAGCUGGCUGCAACUGUUUAUUAAAAACACAGCACUGUGCAAACACGAAAGUGGACGUAUACGGUGUGACGCCUGCCCGGUGCCGGAAGGUUAAUUGAUGGGGUCAGCGCAAGCGAAGCUCCUGAUCGAAGCCCCGGUAAACGGCGGCCGUAACUAUAACGGUCCUAAGGUAGCGAAAUUCCUUGUCGGGUAAGUUCCGACCUGCACGAAUGGCGUAAUGAUGGCCAGGCUGUCUCCACCCGAGACUCAGUGAAAUUGAACUCGCUGUGAAGAUGCAGUGUACCCGCGGCAAGACGGAAAGACCCCGUGAACCUUUACUAUAGCUUGACACUGAACAUUGAGCCUUGAUGUGUAGGAUAGGUGGGAGGCUUUGAAGUGUGGACGCCAGUCUGCAUGGAGCCGACCUUGAAAUACCACCCUUUAAUGUUUGAUGUUCUAACGUGGACCCGUUACCCGGGUUGCGGACAGUGUCUGGUGGGUAGUUUGACUGGGGCGGUCUCCUCCUAAAGAGUAACGGAGGAGCACGAAGGUUGGCUAAUCCUGGUCGGACAUCAGGAGGUUAGUGCAAUGGCAUAAGCCAGCUUGACUGCGAGCGUGACGGCGCGAGCAGGUGCGAAAGCAGGUCAUAGUGAUCCGGUGGUUCUGAAUGGAAGGGCCAUCGCUCAACGGAUAAAAGGUACUCCGGGGAUAACAGGCUGAUACCGCCCAAGAGUUCAUAUCGACGGCGGUGUUUGGCACCUCGAUGUCGGCUCAUCACAUCCUGGGGCUGAAGUAGGUCCCAAGGGUAUGGCUGUUCGCCAUUUAAAGUGGUACGCGAGCUGGGUUUAGAACGUCGUGAGACAGUUCGGUCCCUAUCUGCCGUGGGCGCUGGAGAACUGAGGGGGGCUGCUCCUAGUACGAGAGGACCGGAGUGGACGCAUCACUGGUGUUCGGGUUGUCAUGCCAAUGGCACUGCCCGGUAGCUAAAUGCGGAAGAGAUAAGUGCUGAAAGCAUCUAAGCACGAAACUUGCCCCGAGAUGAGUUCUCCCUGAGACUUAGAGUCUCCUGAAGGAACGUUGAAGACGACGACGUUGAUAGGCCGGGUGUGUAAGCGCAGCGAUGCGUUGAGCUAACCGGUACUAAUGAACCGUGAGGCUUAACCUU
rnacentral:rRNA from 1 species